GCUCCCCCUGCUGGGGGCGAGGCCGCAGAAGUGGAGGCCCUGCCCUCCCGGCACUGAUCAAUGCCAGCUGGUACCCACAGGGUCAGCUGGUUUUGUGGACAUCAGUUCCCCCCGGCCCAUGGAAAAUACAGCAUCAGCUCCAUUUCACACAUGAGCAGAGUGAGGCCCAGAAGAGAAGCCAGCCAAGGGUCGACGCAAGGACGUCAGCAUCCGGGAGCUUACUUCUGCUUUGACUUUUGCCACAGACACGCACCAUCCUCCUGUUCCAGCUCAGCUCCACAACCCAGCCACAGCCCAGGCAGACCAAGCUAGACCUGGAAAGGGUCGUCCCCCAAGUGAGGAUGCCGACCAACAACACUCCCAGUUUACACAGCACUCCUGGGUCUGGCUGGACCACAAGAGAAACAGUAGGAACAGUGCUCCACUUUCACAGGGCUCAAAGAGCCACAGUGCAUUUCCUUGGGGACCCUGGAGGGCCACACCACUUCCUCCAUUUGAAAGGUAACAGGCCAAGACGCAGAGACUUGAAAUGACUGGCCUAAGGUCACACAGUGAGCAGAAAACAACCGGCACUCACUUCCAUUAGAGUUCAAGCCUCUCGCCACUAAGCCUCCUAAUCCCAAGCUUCCUCCACUGCAUCUUUCUUUUUAUUUUAUUUUCUUUUUAUUUUUUCUUUAUUUUUUUGGCAGAACCGGGGAUU